rnacentral:misc_RNA from 1 species
CCAAUAGCGUAUAUUAAAGUUGUUGCAGUUAAAAAGCUCGUAGUUGAAUUUCGGGACCAAUCUGCCGGUCGUGCCUCCGGUACGCACUGGUUUUAUUGGUUUCUCCCUUCUGACGAACCAUGAUGUCAUUAAUUUGGUGUCAUGGGGAAUCAGGACUGUUACUUUGAAAAAAUUAGAGUGUUUAUAGCAGGCUCACGCUUGAAUACAUUAGCAUGGAAUAAUGAAAUAGGACGUUUGACCCUAUUUUGUUGGUUUCUAGGAUCGACGUAAUGAUUAAUAGGGAUAGUUGGGGGCAUUAGUAUUCAAUUGUCAGAGGUGAAAUUCUUGGAUUUAUUGAAGACUAACUACUGCGAAAGCAUUGGCCAAGGAUGUUUUCAUUAAUCAAGAACGAAAGUUAGGGGAUCGAAGACGAUCAGAUACCGUCGUAGUCUUAACCAUAAACUAUGCCGACUAGGGAUCGGAUGAUGUUAAUUUUUUAAUGACUCAUUCGGCGCCUUACG